rnacentral:rRNA from 1 species
AACGAACGCUGGCGGCAUGCCUAACACAUGCAAGUCGAACGAGACCUCCGGGCCUAGUGGCGCACGGGGGCGUAACGCGGGGGAAGCUGCCCGUAGGUUCGGAAUACCUCCCUGAAAGGGGUGCUAAUACAGGAUAAUGUAUUCGGACAAAGGAUCUAUCGCCUUUGGGUGGGCCCGGGUUGGCUUAGCUGGUUGGGAGUGUAAAAGCCGAUCAAGGCGACGUUCCAUAGCUGGUCUGAGAGGAAGAUCCGCAACACUGGGGCUACGCCACGGCCCAGACUCCUACGCAAGGGAGGAGAGGGUAAUAUUGGACUAUGGGGUAAGUCCUGAUCCCGCAGUGCCGCGUAAGUGAUGAUGCCGUUAGGGUUGUGCAGCUGUUUUACCCGGGGCGAUAAUGACGGUACCGGGAGAAUAAGCACCGGCUAACUCCGUG